AUUGAACGCUGGCGGAAUGCUUUACACAUGCAAGUCGAGCGGCAGCGCGGGGGCAACCCUGGCGGCGAGCGGCGAACGGGUGAGUAACAUAUCGGAACGUACCCCGUCGUGGGGGAUAACACAGCGAAAGCUGUGCUAAUACCGCAUACGACCUGAGGGUGAAAGCGGGGGAUCGCAAGACCUCGCGCGAUGGGAGCGGCCGAUAUCGGAUUAGCUUGUUGGUGAGGUAAAGGCUCACCAAGGCGACGAUCCGUAGCUGGUCUGAGAGGACGACCAGCCACACUGGAACUGAGACACGGUCCAGACUCCUACGGGAGGCAGCAGUGGGGAAUUUUGGACAAUGGGGGCAACCCUGAUCCAGCCAUUCCGCGUGAGUGAAGAAGG
rnacentral:rRNA from 1 species